UAUUAUUAUUAUUAUUGUUAUUUUUAUUAUUGUAUUAUUAUCAUUAUUAUUAUUAUUAUUAUUAUUACUAUCAUUAUCAUUUCCGGUCUGUGCAAGUUCGCAGAUUAAUAUAAUGUACGUAAUUGAUUCGUCGAAAUUUAUGAAAGUAAGGGUCAAAGGAUAGAAAAAUAAUAAUUGCUUCCAAUUUACGUGGCCAAACGAUCAUCGUUAUUACAAAAAUUCUAUUACGCAUUUACACGACAUCAUUCGUAUUUGUACAAUACUAUAAUAGUCUCGUAAUUAUUGGUCGUAUGAGUUUCAUCACUACUACUAUUAUUAUUAUUAUUAUUAUCAUCAUUAUUAUCAUUAUUAUUAUAUGCUGUUACGAUUGUUUGAAAAAAAUUUUUUUUUUAUCAUCAUUACAGUCAUCAUGUGCUAUAUAGGAUAUUAAUCGUUGAAGUUUAUAAUCAAGUUUUGGCCAGAUAUUAUUAC